rnacentral:rRNA from 1 species
GACAGAGGUGCCGAGCGUUAGGCGGAAUCACUGGGCUUAAAGCGUGUGUAGGCGGACCGUUAAGUGCCUUGUGAAAUCCCCCGGCUCAACCGUGGAACUGCUGGGUAUACUGGCGAUCUUGAGCCACCUAGGGGCGAGCGGAACAAGCGGUGGAGCGGUGAAAUGCGUAGAUAUCGCUUGGAACGCCAAUGGUGAAAACAGCUCGCUGGGGGUGUGCUGACGCUGAGACACGAAAGCCAGGGGAGCGAACGGG